ensembl:lncRNA
CUCCAGUCUCCUCCCUGAUACUCUGCCCUCUCAGCUCUUGCCUAUUUUUCUCCUAAACUCAGGGAAACUGACUGCUGGUUCCUGACUCAGGCCUCCAAUUGGGUUUAACUUCUCUACGCAAUUACUUGGAAACUGUCUCUUGGAAAGUUUGCUGACCCCUGAAUAGAAGACUUCUGUAAAGUUCUUAACUGUGGGACAUCAGAUCUGUGCUGAUAUUCAAGUCUGGAAGAAUAAUUAGGAUCUGAUUUUGCACUUAAUCCCCUUAAAUCUGUAUAUGGUUUUUCAUAUCUUUCACAAUCUUUACAAUCUUGAAGAGCGCUGGUCAAUCAUGUUGACAUAUUUGUUUUCUUUUGUAAUGAUGGAAAUCUGAAGUUCCUCCCGACAGGCAAAGAAAUAGCCUGCAGAUCGUUGGGGAGUUCAUAUUGCAAAUAACUAAGCUCUUUAGUCCACUGGCUAUGUCUGGAGGCUCUUCCCCCAAGCGGAGCAAAGUGGGAAGAGACAUGAAAGCUGAAGUUCUUCCUAACAUUUACUCUGGCACAUUCUCCAGUAUAUUAAGAUGGUAAAUCAGAAACUGAGCUAUUUUCUACAUCUGAGUUUAACAUCUCAGUACCUAUCUGAAUAAAAAGUGGAUAACAUACACCUAAGCUGAAAUGUAAUAAUUAAUCUAUUCAGAGAGCCUUUCUUUCAUUUGAAAUGAAGUUUAAAAUGCAUAUGAAGAUAAUAUGUUUACUUGUUCAGAGAAUGACCCAUCUUAUUAUAUUCAUAAUUCCCAAAUAAAUGAUAAAGUUAUAUAAUCCA